GGUGGGGCCAGUGCUAGGGAAAUGGAAGCUUGAGGCCAGCAUCACACAAACCCAGCACCGCGGCCAUGGUUCAAGUCUCUGCGUUCCAAACCCAGACAUUUUAAUCUUCCUGCUAUGUUUGUUCAGAGCCCCCAUGACCACGGAGUAUCCAGAGACAUUAGCUGACAUGCUUCCAUGAGGUUUGAGAGAUGGAUUCAAAGUGAGCAUAUAUCGGUGCACAGAGUAACUUCAGAGCAGCUUGGAUGAAGAGCUGCCCCACCCCAUCCCUAGAAACAGUAUUGUGCUCAACCCCCAAAAAUCUCAGGGUGUGAUGAGUUUCUACCUUUAACCCCAAGUAGGACUCUCAAGUUUCUCUCAGUGUUCCGUGAAAGGCCAACUGUGCACUCCAAAAGGGACAAGGUGAACUGUCCCCAGCAGCUUAGACUAAUUUAGAAAAUGCCAGAAGCUACACAGCCUAAAUUUCCUGAUCAACUUUAAGAGAAAUAAGACUUGUGAUUUCAUCUUUGACUAAGCCUGGUUCACCUCUUAUUUGAUUUCUAAGUUGAAGAGAAAAAGAACACUUUUACGCGUCUUCUCUGGAAGCCUCCUUCCCUUUCAAAAGGAAAACAAACACAGUUCUACUUUGCAAACCGGGAGAGCAGUUGUAAUCAGCUACUUGGCUAAAGAAACUCAAUUCCAGAGUCAGUCUGGAGUAAGGGGAGGUUUGCUUUCUUACUAAUGGGAGCCCAUGGGGUGCAGAGACUUCAGGUGGGAGAUGAUGCAAUCUAUUGAUUAUCCGGGGACCGCUCAUAAAAAAGUCAGAUUCACAAGCCCUCAAACUCACUUGUGUUGUUCACAGGGGGCUGAUUUCCCCCUUGACUCUGAUCAAGUUGUCCCAUCAUACCUGCUUGCAAGGCAUGUGGUCUUCACACCCGAACCUCUUAAAGCUGGAAAUGGGAGUUAAGUAAAAACUAAGGACAGCUAACCUUGAGUAGAAUCAUAAAAAAUUAGACAGGACAACAUGGACUAAAU